rnacentral:rRNA from 1 species
UACGGAGGGAGCUAGCGUUAUUCGGAAUUACUGGGCGUAAAGCGCACGUAGGCGGCUUUGUAAGUUAGAGGUGAAAUCCUGGAGCUCAACUCCAGAACUGCCUUUGAUACUGGAAAGCUUGAGUUCGAGAGAGGUGAGUGGAACUGCGAGUGUAGAGGUGAAAUUCGUAGAUAUUCGCAAGAACACCAGUGGCGAAGGCGGCUCACUGGCUCGAUACUGACGCUGAGGAGCGAAAGCGUGGGGAGCGAACAGG